AGACUGUAAUGGUCUAAAAUUCUGUGCGUUAAUAGUCUUGCCUUUGGCCGGGCAGAUGGUUAGGAACAC
rnacentral:ncRNA from 1 species